CCCUUAGACGUUCUGGGCCGCACGCGCGCUACACUGAUACAUGCAACGAGUUUAUAACCUUGAUCUGACGGUCUGGGUAAUCUUCAAACUGUAUCGUGUUAGGGAUCGAUUCUUGCAAUUUUUAAUCGUAAACGAGGAAUUCCUAGUAAACGCAAGUCAUCAGCUUGCAUUGAUUACGUCCCUGCCCUUUGUACACACCGCCCGUCGACUCUACCGAUUGAAUGGUUCGGUGAAAACUUUGGACUGUGGCAUUGUCCUUCAUUGGACUUCGCCGUAGGAAAUUGUUUAAACCUCAUCAUUUAGAGGAAGAAUAAGUCGUAACA
rnacentral:rRNA from 1 species